rnacentral:rRNA from 1 species
AUUGAACGCUAGCGGGAUGCCUUACACAUGCAGGUCGAACGGCAGCACGGACUUCGGUCUGGUGGCGAGUGGCGAACGGGUGAGUAAAGUAUCGGAACGUGCCCAGUAGAGGGGGAUAACUACGCGAAAGCGUAGCUAAUACCGCAUACGCCCUGAGGGGGAAAGCAGGGGAUCGCAAGACCUCGCGUUAUUGGAGCGGCCGAUAUCGGAUUAGCUAGUUGGUAGGGUAAAGGCCUACCAAGGCGACGAUCCGUAGCUGGUUUGAGAGGACGACCAGCUACACUGGGGCUGAGACACGGCCCAGACUCCUACGGGAGGCAGCAGUGGGGAAUUUUGGGCAAUGGGGGCAACCCUGAUCCAGCCAUUUCGCGUGUGCGAUGAAGGCCUUCGGGUUGUAAAGCACUUUUGGCAGGGAAGAAAAGGUUUGGGCUAAUACCCUGAGCCGCUGACGGUACCUGCAGAAUAAGCACCGGCUAACUACGUGCCAGCAGCCGCAGUAA